CAAGGAAUUAAGAGUUUAUGGGGGAUACCUUGGCAUUCAGAAGCGAUGAAGGACGCGGUUACCAGCGAAAUGCUUCGGGUAGUUGGAAACAAGCUAUGAUCCGGAGGUCUCCGAAUAAGGAAACUUUUUAUACUACUUAUUGAAUACAUAGAUAAGAAAGAGCGAACCUAGGGAACUGAAACAUCUUAGUACCUAGAGGAAAAGAAAGUAAAAAACGAUUCCCUUAGUAGCGGCGAGCGAACUGGGAGAAGCCUAAACUUAAUUUUAUUAAGGGUAGUGGGACAAUUGUUAAUCGAUUAGGACAAUUAGAUGAACAAGUUGGAAUACUUGACCAAAGAAAGUGAUAGUCUUGUAAUCGAAAAUUGAAAUAAUCAAAUUGAAUCCCAAGUAGCAUGGAGCACGUGAAAUUCCGUGUGAAUCUGCGAGGACCACCUCGUAAGGCUAAAUAUUCCUGAAUGACCGAUAGUGAACAGUACCGUGAGGGAAAGGUGAAAAGAACCCCGGGAGGGGAGUGAAAAGAACAUGAAACCAUAAACUUACAAUCAGUAGGAGGACGACUAAAACGUCUGACUGCGUGCCUGUUGAAGAAUGAGCCGGCGACUUAUAGGUAGUGGCAGGUUAAAGCAGAGAAUGCCGAAGCCAUAGUGAAAGCGAGCCUGAAUAGGGCAUAUGUCACUGGUUAUAGACCCGAACCCGGAUGAUCUAACCAUGGUCAGGUUGAAGCUUAGGUAAUACUAAGUGGAGGACCGAACCGACUGAUGUUGAAAAAUCAGCGGAUGAACUGUGGUUAGGGGUGAAAUGCCAAUCGAAUUCGGAGCUAGCUGGUUCUCCCCGAAAUGCGUUUUGGCGCAGCGAUAAAUGUUAUAACUUAGGGGUAAAGCACUGUUACGUAUGCGGGCUGGUAAUUCGGUACCAAAUCGUUGCAAACUAAGAAUACUAAGUGUAGAGUUUAUCAGUGAGACUGUGGGGGAUAAGCUCCAUUGUCAAGAGGGAAACAGCCCAGAGCACCAGUUAAGGCCCCUAAAUAAUUACUAAGUGAUAAAGGAGGUGGGAGUGCAUAGACAAUCAGGAGGUUUGCCUAGAAGCAGCAAUCCUUUAAAGAGUGCGUAAUAGCUCACUGAUCGAGUAAACCUGCGCCGAAAAUGUACGGGACUAAGUAAUUUGCCGAAACUGUGCGAUAUAUUUUGAAUAUAUCGGUAGGGGAGCGUUCUGUUGUAGAUUGAAGUAUUAACGUAAGUGGAUAUGGACGAAGCAGAAGUGAGAAUGUCGGCUUGAGUAACGAAAAUAUAGGUGAGAAUCCUAUACCCCGAAAACCCAAGGUUUCCUCCGGAAGGCUCGUCCGCGGAGGGUAAGUCAGGACCUAAGGCGAGGCUGAAAAGCGUAGUCGAUGGACAACGGGUUAAUAUUCCUGUACCAUUAUUUAUUGAUAACGAGGGACGGAGAAGGCUAAACUGGCCGGAUAUUGGUUACCGGUUUAAACGUUCGAGGUAUUGAGAAACGGAGAAAACGUUUUGAGCUAAGACGUGAGUACGAGAUGCUAAGGCAUUGAAGCAGUGUACGUCAGACUUCCAAGAAAAGCUCGCAAUGUCGUAAAUAGAUAAUGCCUGUACCAUAACCGACACAGGUGGGUAGGUAGAGUAUACUAAGGGGCGCGAGAUAACUCUCUCUAAGGAACUCGGCAAAAUGACUCCGUAACUUCGGGAGAAGGAGUGCCUUAUUUAUAAGGUUGCAAUAACAAGAUCCAAGCAACUGUUUACCAAAAACACAGGUCUCCGCUAAGUCGUAAGACGAUGUAUGGGGGCUGACGCCUGCCCAGUGCCAGAAGGUUAAAGAAGUUGGUUAGCAUUCGCGAAGCUGAUAACUGAAGCCCUGGUGAACGGCGGCCGUAACUAUAACGGUCCUAAGGUAGCGAAAUUCCUUGUCGGGUAAGUUCCGACCUGCACGAAUGGUGUAACGAUCUGGGCACUGUCUCAGCCAUGAGCUCGGUGAAAUUGUAGUCUCGGUGAAGAUGCCGAGUACCCGCAACGGGACGAAAAGACCCCGUGCACCUUUACUAUAGCUUAGUAUUGACUUCGGAUAAGUGAUGUGUAGGAUAGGUGGGAGACUUUGAAGCUGUGUCGCCAGGCAUGGUGGAGUCGUCCUUGAAAUACCACCCUUCGCUUAUUUGGAGCCUAACCCCGAGAGGGGAACAGUGCUUGGUGGGUAGUUUGACUGGGGUGGUCGCCUCCAAAAGAGUAACGGAGGCUUCUAAAGGUACCCUCAGCACGCUUGGUAACCGUGCGUAGAGUGCAAUGGCAUAAGGGUGCUUGACUGUGAGACUUACAAGUCGAGCAGGGACGAAAGUCGGUCUUAGUGAUCUGACGGUGCUGAGUGGAAAGGCCGUCACUCAACGGAUAAAAGUUACUCUAGGGAUAACAGGCUGAUCUCCCCCA
rnacentral:rRNA from 1 species